rnacentral:rRNA from 1 species
GAUGAACGCUGGCGGCGUGCCUAAUACAUGCAAGUCGAGCGAACAGACGAGGAGCUUGCUCCUUUGACGUUAGCGGCGGACGGGUGAGUAACACGUGGGUAACCUACCUAUAAGACUGGGAUAACUUCGGGAAACCGGAGCUAAUACCGGAUAAUAUUUCGAACCGCAUGGUUCGAUAGUGAAAGAUGGCUCUGCUAUCACUUAUAGAUGGACCUGCGCCGUAUUAGCUAGUUGGUAAGGUAACGGCUUACCAAGGCAACGAUACGUAGCCGACCUGAGAGGGUGAUCGGCCACACUGGAACUGAGACACGGUCCAGACUCCUACGGGAGGCAGCAGUAGGGAAUCUUCCGCAAUGGGCGAAAGCCUGACGGAGCGACGCCGCGUGAGUGAUGAAGGUCUUCGGAUCGUAAAACUCUGUUAUUAGGGAAGAACAAACGUGUAAGUAACUGUGCACGUCUUGACGGUACCUAAUCAGAAAGCCACGGCUAACUACGUG